rnacentral:rRNA from 1 species
AUUGAACGCUGGCGGCAUGCUUUACACAUGCAAGUCGAACGGCAGCACGAGUGCUUGCACUUGGUGGCGAGUGGCGGACGGGUGAGUAAUACAUCGGAACGUGUCCUGAAGUGGGGGAUAACGCAUCGAAAGAUGUGCUAAUACCGCAUAAUCUCUGAGGAGGAAAGUAGGGGAUCGAAAGACCUUAUGCUUUUGGAGCGGCCGAUGUCUGAUUAGCUAGUUGGUGGGGUAAUGGCUUACCAAGGCGACGAUCAGUAGUUGGUCUGAGAGGACGACCAGCCACACUGGGACUGAGACACGGCCCAGACUCCUACGGGAGGCAG